CCACGCCUUUAAUGUGCAGAGGGUGUGGCGUGCUCACUGAGGACACACAUAGGACAGGGGUCAGAGGGCAGAUCAUUAUCACCAGGGCAACAGCAAGCACUCACACCUGGUCUGAUGAGGCAGAGUGAUGUCUUUGAUGGCCAGGACUCCUCUCUGACCGGUGCUGACCGCCUCAAACACCACCUUCCAAACAGACCAGAGCACAUCUGAUCAGUCAGGGGUACAAGAACCAACAAUAAGGAUGCGCCCUGAAGGUAGAUGGAGGUCAAACCAGCAGAUAACGGACUGAGUGGGAAUGGAUCAAAGCUUCAGAUGGACUUGGAACAUGAAAAAUCACAAUCAUUUCAACCAUCAUCACCUAACCCUUCAUGUUUUAAGCUGGCGGACAGGAAGUCAAGUGGAGAGAGGACUGAGGCCGCAUGCUCUACUGGCACGCCUGUGGCUCAGUGAGAAGAGUGGGGGCCUUGCAAACCCAGGGUUGUGGGUUUAGUUCCAGCUUCCUCCUGCCACAUGUCAACGUGCCUAGGCAAGGCACUUAACCUCAAAUUCGCUACCGAUCUAUGUAUCGUGUAUGAAUGUGUGUGGGUUAGUGAACAACAGUACAGGAGCAUAUUAAAAUACAGUCCAAACGUUUAAGAUAAUUGUCACAAAGCCAUGAUUAAGGAAGAAAGCAGGAGCCUGCUGCCAUUUUCUCAAUAUUUUUGACCCGUAUGUGAAAUCCUCCCAGAGGAAUCAGAUCAGAGAGGUUCAGCUCCUCUUGGAGAUGAUCAGCGGUGCAGAGAAAGAGAAGACAGUCUUCCUUUUAUCUGUACGGACCGAGGAAACACAAAGAGUAAUGAUACCCUGGAAUCAGACGUAGUGAAUGGUGGGUUUGGGUCGUAUAGAACAUCAACCACCGUCACAUUUCACCUGUGCUUUAACAGCUCCACUGGCUCCCAAUCAAACACCGCCUGGAAUUCAUCCUGCUCUAAACAUCAUCCAUCACCUCGCUCCUUCAUAUCUGUCGGACCUCCUCCACAUUAACACUCCCUCCCGGUCUCUUGGGUCAGCCUCAUGGUGCCUCCAGCUCGUCUGACCACUGUGGGAUCCAGGACCUUCAGCCGAUCUGCUCCCCGCCUCCGGAACGCCCUCCCUCCUGACAUCAGGGACACCGCCACUCUGUCUCUAUCCCGGCUGAAAACCAGCAUUUUACCGUGAUUAAACUCCAUGGUCCUUUUUUGUUCUCUGUUUGGUUGAAAUCUCAAACAUUUUGUUCUCAGAUUUCUGA